rnacentral:rRNA from 1 species
GUGGGGAAUCUUGCGCAAUGGGGGCAACCCUGACGCAGCCAUACCGCGUGUGUGAUGAAGGUCUUCGGAUUGUAAAGCACUUUCAGUGGGGACGACAAUGACGGUACCCACAGAAGAAGUCACGGCUAACUUCGUGCCAGCAGCCGCGGUAAUACGAAGGUGGCGAAUGUUGCUCGGAUUCACUGGGCGUAAAGCGUCGGUAGGAGGCUUGUUAAGUCAGGUGUGAAAGCCCCGCGCUCAACGUGGGAAUUGCACUUGAAACUAACUGGCUUGAAGGUAUGAGAGGAAGGCGGAAUAACUGGUGUAGAGGUAAAAUUCAUAGAUAUCAGUUGGAACACCCAUGGCGAAGGCAGCUUUCUGGCAUAUUCUUGACUCUGAGCGACGACAGCGUGGGGAGCAAACAGGAUUAGAUACCCUUGUAGUCC